rnacentral:lncRNA from 1 species
UUUUUUUUUUUUUUUCUUUUUUGGCCACCCCAAGGCACAUGGAGUUCCUGGGUCAGGGCUCAGAUCUGAGCCACAGUUGUGACCUAAGCUGCAGCUGUAGCAACGCUGGAUCCUUAACCCACUGUACUGAGCCCGGGAUCAAACCUGCAUCUCAGCACUCCCAAGAUGCCGCCAAUCCCAUUGCACUACAGCAGGAACUCCUCGACAGUCUUGCUUCAUCUAUAUUCCCUUGACUCUGCUUACACUGGAUUAUUUUAAUCAAACCCCAAGCUUCAUAUAAAAUCAUCUCUAGAUAUUUCAGUUUAUAUCUCUUCAAGAUAAGGACUUUUCAAACAAAAGCCCUGGACUGUUAUGAGACCUAAACAGUAAAAUAAGUAAUUCAUUAAAACAUCAAAUGUCCUAUCAGACAUUCAUUCUAAGUCCAAUUUUUCUAUUUCCUUUCAGAUGGAUGUUCAAAUGAAGAUUCUUAAAAUGUCCUUUUAUUGAAUUUGGCUAUUGUGUUUCUUGUGUCUGUUUUUUGAAAAUUAAUUUUAAAAUAUAAAAAACCUUUUGUUGUGAAAUUUUCCAAUGUAAACAAAAGGAAAGAAAAUAUUAUAGUGGACCUCGUGGGAGCUAGGGUGAGCAAAAGGACCCUAGAUUUUAAAUUCUGGAGAUCUGCUAUGAUUGCUGAUUGCUGCUUCUAAUCACAAUCAGAGGUGCAGAAAGAGAGGUGCACAGCCACUGUUGCUGCACCUCUCCCCCCUGUUGCAACCCUGCCCCAUCUGAUGAACUAACUUCCAAGGUAUUCUGAGUGCUGAAAUCAUUUUCACCCCCUGCAUUUUUCAUUUUUUCCCUUUUAGGAGUCAGAUGUUCAAAAACCACUAGAAAACUAGGAUGUUUCAAAAUGACUGCAUUUAUAGGGGAAAAUCAAAAGUUCCAUGCUCAAGGAAAGUCUCAGAAAAGACCUAAGACAUUACGUUUAUACCUUAGGCUGAUCCCCAGCAUAGAGACAGCCUACAACAAUAAACACACACACACGAAAAUCAGUAACAGAAAAUACCCCUGAGGAAGAGAGAGAAUAAGAUUUCCAGAGUUACCACAUAUUAAGUUUUAAAUCUCCAGUCACAAUAUUAUGCAUUGUGAUUUUUCAACAACAAAAAAAUCACAAUGCAUAAAAAGAAAGAGGAAAGUAUAACUCAAAGGGAAAAAGAAACAGAAACUAUCCCUAAAAAAGACAUAUUGGCAAAUAUAUUAUACAAAGACCUUAAAACAACUGUCUUAAAGAUGCUCAAAGAACUAAAGGAAUAUAGAACAAAGUCAAAAAAAUAAUGUAUGAACCAAAUGAAAAUAUCAGUAAAGAGAUAGAAAACCUAAAAAGGAACCAAAAAGAAAUUUUGGAGCUGUAAAGUACAAUAACUGAAGUGAAAAAUUCACUACAGGAAUUCAAAGGCAGAUUUGAGCAGGCACAAGAAAUAAUUUGUGAACCUAAAGAAGGGACUAUGGAAAUUAUCGAGGCUGAGGACAGAAAGAAAAAAGUAUGAAUAAAACUGAACAUAGCCCAAGCGACCCUUGAGACACCAUCAAGUGGACCUAAUACACACUGUGGGAUCCCAGAAGGAGAAGAGGGAGAGAAAGGGCCAGAGAGACCAUCUGGAGAAAUGAUGAUUGAAAACUUCACGAAUUUAAUGAAAGAUGUGACUAUAAAUAUCCAAGAAUCUCAGUGAACUCCAAGAUGAUCCACAUGGAGAUGUAUUACAACCAAACACUCAAAAGACAAAGAAUGAAUCUGUUUUUUUGUUUGUUCAUUUGUUUGUUUUGUCUUUUUAGGGCCGCACCCAAGGCAUAUGGAGGUUCCCAGGCUAGAGCUACAGCUCCUAUUUGACCCCUAGCCUGGGAAUCUACAUGUACCCCAGGUACAGCCCUAAAAGACAAAAAAAAAAAAAAUUCCUUCAAAAAGGAGGGAGAUGGAGUUUUCCAGUGGUCUAGCAGUCAGUUAAGGGCUAAGCCACUGCUGUGGCUCAGGUUAUUGUUGUGGCUUGGAUUUGAUUCCUGGCCCGAGAACUUCCUCAUGCUGCAGGCAUGGCCAAAAAAAAAAGUGUGGUGGGGUGGAGGGAGAAAUCAAGACAUUAAAAAAAAAAAAAAAAGAGUUCC